AUAUGAUGGCACUCUUCAAGAACUUGAAAGGUUGUCACAACAGAGGAGGGCCAGGAUCUCUUCUCCAUCAUCCCAGAGUGCAGGACAUGGAAUAAUGGGCUCAAGCUACAGGAAGCCAGAUUUUGGUUGAACCUCAGGAAAAACUUCCUGUUAGAGUGGUCUGACCUGUUAGGAGAAGAAUCAGAACGCAGCACUCCAGCUGGAAGACCUCUUUCCUGGAGAGAAACAGAGAUUUAUAUGAAACUGUUUCAAGGGAUGAUGUUAUCAAUCCACGCAAGGUCAUGUUGGGAGAAGACGAAGUCUAGCAUCUUCCGGACUAAAAUCAAGGCUAAAAUCUAAAAGAAGAGGGAAAAACCCACCAGGACAAGGCUCCAGUCAUUUAGCAUCACUUUCAACACUGCUAGUUGUGCAGCAAAA